rnacentral:lncRNA from 1 species
UGGUAUUUCUAUGUUUUUUGUCAUACUUGGGUUUGAUUGCUGCCUAACAUUGAGAUACCUCUAUCUAAUUUUCAGUCUAUAGAACUAUAGAGUCGAGAAUCUUAAUUUACAGGUAUUAUGUUACAAAAACCUACAAAUCAGAAAAACAAAAAAUAAACAUCAGCGCAACACAUGAAAUAGCAUACCAAUCACAGAAAUAUAGUAGCUUAUAAUUAUAUACAGUGUUGUUUGGUAAAAAAUAUUCAGUAAAAUAUGGAAUUUAAACGAUGAAAACCAUUAAAAUACAGAAACAGUCCUCUCAUUUGUAUAACAGUCACACAUAGGUUCGCACUAUUAACAAUAAUAAUCCAGUAAGACCACUUUUUGGCCCCAAAAUAUAGCAGUUUUACAAAAUUGUUAAAAUGUAAACUUUUAGUUAUUUAUUGGACAGUAGAAUGCUUCUGUUACAUAAAUAUGGGCUGUUUUUGACAAUACAAUGCACACAUAUCGGGUAUUAGCACCAUACAGUCAUGCUAAAUUACUAAAAUCUUCACAAUUCUAGCAUUUUAGUUAAAUUUUAGACGGUUUUUGUGUAAAACGAAAGUGACCGCAUUCGUGUUCAUCCUUAACAUUGAAAUGAAAGUUGUAUUUGAUGAUAAUACAUAACAUAUAUAAAGGUUCAGGAUGAACACGAAUGCGGCCACGUUCGUUGACAAAAAAAACUGAAAAGUGACAUUUUUCGGCAUAUUUGAUAGAUUUUUCAUAUUUGAGCUUGAAGUGGAUCGUUUUUAAUGACUAAAUCUGUUAAAAUCUUUCACAUAAACUAAUUUAUUCAAAUGAAAUAGACACUUAAGUGUUUAAAAAGUGGUCAAAAUUUUUCGUCAGAUGAACCUGAAAUUUGAGGCCAAAAUCGGUCCUUUACCGGACCUACUCCUUUUGGGUUUU